UACGUAGGGGGCAAGCGUUGUCCGGAUUUAUUGGGCGUAAAGCGCACGUAGGCGGAUCGUUAAGUCGGAGGUGAAAUCCUGGAGCUCAACUCCAGAACUGCCUUCGAUACUGGCGAUCUUGGAGUCCGGGAGAGGUGAGUGGAACUCCGAGUGUAGAGGUGAAAUUCGUAGAUAUUCGGAAGAACACCAGUGGCGAAGGCGGCUCACUGGCCCGGUACUGACGCUGAGGUGCGAAAGCGUGGGGAGCAAACAGG
rnacentral:rRNA from 1 species